rnacentral:rRNA from 1 species
GACGAACGCUGGCGGCGUGCUUAACACAUGCAAGUCGAACGGAAAGGCCCUGCUUUUGUGGGGUGCUCGAGUGGCGAACGGGUGAGUAACACGUGAGUAACCUGCCCUUGACUUUGGGAUAACUUCAGGAAACUGGGGCUAAUACCGGAUAGGAGCUCCUGCUGCAUGGUGGGGGUUGGAAAGUUUCGGCGGUUGGGGAUGUACUCGCGGCUUAUCAGCUUGUUGGUGGGGUAGUGGCUUACCAAGGCUUUGACGGGUAGCCGGCCUGAGAGGGUGACAGGCCACAUUGGGACUGAGAGACGGCCCAGACUCCUACGGGAGGCAGAAGUGGGGAAUAUUGAACAAUGGGCGGGAGCCUGAUGCAGCAACGCCGCGUGCGGGAUGACGGCCUUAGGGUUGUAAACCGCUUGCGCCUGUGACGAAGCGUGAGUGAAGGUAAUGGGUAAAGAAGCACCGGCUAAAUACGUG